rnacentral:lncRNA from 1 species
CAGAUUGAAGCUGGGAGACUUAGAGGUGACAUGAGUCCUCAAGAGACCCACCAGCUGGCUAGGUGGGGCCAGCUAGAGGCAGCCUUGGGAUUUGGGUUUACUGCUGGAAGUAAAAGAUACAAUUACGGUCAACUCUUGUGCUAGUCGGGCACCAAGUAUAGACAAGGAAUUUCAAACUUUAAUUUUACCCUGAAACAUCAGCAAUCCCUUUCCUAAAUUUCCCUAGAGAUUUUAGGGUGAUUUCUAACCCCUAGUAAGAUGGAUGGGAGCUUCCCAUGUGGUGCUAGUAGUAAGAACCAGCCUGCCAAUGCAGGAGAUGUAAGAGAUAUGAGUUCAAUGGCCCUGCAGUCCCGAGACUGAACGCGAGCAGACCAGGGGCGAAGGAACAGAAGGCAUUUCCUUCUAGCAAUGGCUUCUGGAAAACGCAGAGUGGAACUCAAGCCACAGUCCUGUGUGUGGGGAAGGUGUGGGAAAACCAGACCUGCCUCUGCCAGGCUUGGGACUGCAGAUGGGACCUUGGAACCAGAGCUAAGGGGAGAGACAGCCUGAGACCCAUGACCUCCUGCACACAGGAAGAGGUGGCUCCUGACUGGUAUCACAUCUAAGAAAGUGAAAGUGAAAGUCACUCAGUCGUGUCGAACUCUUUGUGGCCUCAUGGAAUUCUCCAAGCCAGAAUACUGAAGUGGGUAGCUGUUCCCUUCUCCAGAGGAUCUUCCCAACCCAGGGAUUGAACCCAGGUCUCCCACAUUGCAGGCGGAUUCUUCACUGCUGAGCCACCAGGGAAGUCCCAUAUCUAAGAAACUGUAUCCUAAUUCAAGGUUAAGUGAGUCCCCAUCCAGGGGCUUUUUCCU